ensembl:snRNA U4 U4 spliceosomal RNA
AGCUUUGCGCAGUGGCAGUAUCGUAGCCAAUGAGGUUUAUCCAAGGCGCGGUUAUAGCUAAUUGAAAAAUGUCACGUAUUAGUA